AAAUCCGUCGACUUUUAAAA
rnacentral:tRNA from 1 species